GAGGGUACAGCUCAGCGGUAGAGCGUGUGCUUAGUGUGCACAAGGUCCUGGGUUCAGUCCCCAGUACCUCCA
rnacentral:tRNA from 1 species